UUAAAAAAAAAACUCAUUUUAAGCUUUUAAGUCUCUGAAUGCCGAGCAAUUCUUCGCUCCUGUUUUUCCUCACUGUGGGCUCAUUUUUGACUAUAAUAUAAAGUCCUGCACCUCUGUGGAAACAGCACAACCAUGAAGAAGGAGAGAGAACUCAGAAAUGUUUGUUUUAUAAAAAUUGAGAAACAUGGAAUCAGUAUAAUGAAUGUAUCUUCCAAUAUUUGCUCUUAUGUAUACCAAUUUUGAGCCAUGCUGCAUUUAUGUUAUUGAUGCAGUAUGCUGUAUGUUUUUAACCAUCGCUAGAAGCAGCGAGAACUUAAAACUGUUUGUUGUGCAGUAUAGUAGUUAUAAUUCCAUUUAUUUUUAAUUAGUUAUGAUGCCAUAACUCGUAAAAAAGAAAUAGCAAAAGUUGAUUAUAAUUUGUAUUUGUUUUUCCAAGUUGUAGUGUUAGUAUUACUGAAAAAAAUGUGUUUCUACAGACUACAGAAAUUGGACUUCUCACAUUUUUAAUUUGUCUCCAUACUUGUCUCCUCUCUGUUCUGUGGAAACACUUCCUGCAGUUCAGUCGACAAGUCUCUGAAUUGUUGUCACCUGACUGUUGGUAACAGCUGUCGUGACUUCACAGUUGUGCCAAAAAAUGCAGACUUUUUCUUUUCCUUUUUUUUUUUUUUUUUUAAAUUUUUUUUUACAGAAUUUGGUUAUGGCAAAUCAUUUUAAGUUAGAUAUGGUUCAUUUUUCCUAUAGAACUGCAUGUCACAGAUGAUUAGUUCAAGGAUUACUGAAAAGUUGACAAUUCAGUUGUUUUUGUUCAUUUUUUUACUUUCUGCCUGAUAAAUGGUGUAAAUUUUGCAAUUUAAAAAAAAAGAUGUCAUGCGUGUCAUGCUGCUAGGGUUUGAGGUUUCACUGGGUUCAUCUAUCAGAGUGAUGAAACACUCAGGUUGGAAGUCAUGGAGCUUUACAUCAGGACCACAGCUCAUAGACAUGGUUAAUAUAUCGUGCUGUGAGACCUCAGUCUGGCCUUUGCCGUGGUUGACCGUGCUAUUUUAAUUAACUGCCGAGGGCUUUGGCUUUUCGUCAGUUGUUUUUUGUAGCAUCCAUUCAGAACUCCCUCUGUGUUUCAUCUAGAACAGAGUCAGACAAAAAUAAGCUGUCGAAGGUUAAACCCCCUGCAAAGAGACUGACUUGGCUCAGUUAGCGUUGUUGGCUGCAUUCAGCUCACACCGUUGGGGUUUUGGGUAUCUGCUAACACAGGAAACGAAGAUGUGUCCACUGAGGCGAAGCCUAAAUCAGAAAGAGAAGUUGAAGGUUCCUGGUUUUACUUGAACAGCUGGAGCGUCGAGUUGCCAGACAGCAGCAACCUCUGCAUGUGAAGGUCCAGAACCGAGGAACAAUUCCCUGUGCAAAGCUGGUGGCUUCACCUCCAUCUGAGUGAAGAACUCCACCAUCUGUAUGUCUUUCUGCUUAGUGUGACAUAAAAACAAGUUAAGGGAAAGAGAAAUAGACUUACAUCAUAUCUUUAUAUCACACUGUUUUGUUUCCAUAUGGACUGAGACAUUCAUCUCCAUUGGGAUCUUAUUUGAAUCAUGAUGCUGACAUGAGCCUAAGAGUCCUGUUAGUUUACUGAUGAAACGUUAAGUAAAUCAAACCAAUUUUAGAAGCACUUUCAACGUUCACCCUGAAAGAAUUCUGCUUGAGGUUUGUGGAGACAUUAAGAACAUCUGGUUUCCCUCUCAGGGAGGUUUGUUCUGAAUCACACAAAUUAAAUGGCUGGAAGUAUUUGAGUUCUCCUGUGGUUAGCUGGAUCUUUGUGUUAUUGUUGUAUAACAAAUCCACCACAAAGCAGCGAGAAGAGCGUCAGGCUGCAUCAGGUGAAGAGGCGAAGCUGUGGUUUGGGAUCCAGAAGUUUGCUGGAAAUUUGGUGGGUUUUUUUAUGAUCAUAGUAUCAAGAGUGUUUGUCCUGAAGGUUGGAUGGAUUCCAGCAUCACUGUUAUUACAACAACUAUGAAUGUCUGACCUGAAACUGAUGCCAUAACUGGAACUGCAGUGUAUCCCAUAUCAAAAUUCAGUUUCCAAGCAAUUAGAUUUCUUAAAGAACUGACUCUGCUGCUUCCCAUAUUGUUGGUUGUUAAAAAAAAAAAAAAAGGAACAAAAAUGUUUGCAAGUGUUUCACAAUAGUGAGAACACUGUAACCAGAAACAUGAAACAACUGCAGUGCAAACAUGCGCCGUUUGUCCACCCUACUGGCUUAUUGGGUGAGUGUUUCUGACAUUAUUCUGCUAUUCUUUCAUGUGUACUGAUACCAUUACAACACUGAAACAUUACAUCCAUCCUAUCUGCAGCAGGUCUCUCUGCUCUCGCAGCUGUUUUGGAAGAAGCACUCCGUUGUCAGAUCUGGUCUCCUGUUUGACUGGCAGUAAUAAUCCUGCUCACAUCUGCAAGCCUACAGUGUUUUCAUCCAUUUGUAGUACAAGAAGCUACAACCUCUUGCG
ensembl:lncRNA